rnacentral:rRNA from 1 species
AGAGUUUGAUCCUGGCUCAGAACGAACGCUGGCGGCGUGCUUAACACAUGCAAGUCGAGUGCGCGUGCCGUAGCAAUACGGCAUGGCGCACGGCGCACGGGUGCGUAACACGUGGGCAAUCUGCCCUCCGGUGGGGAAUAACCCCGCGAAAGCGGGGCUAAUUCCGCAUAACAUUCCCUGGACUCCGGUUCGGGGAUUCAAAGCAGUGAUGCGCCGGAGGAGGAGCCCGCGCCCGAUUAGCUAGUUGGUGAGGUAACGGCUCACCAAGGCAAUGAUCGGUAGCUGGUCUGAGAGGAUGGCCAGCCACACUGGGACUGAGACACGGUCCAGACUCCUACGGGAGGCAGCAGUGGGGAAUCUUGCGCAAUGGGCGAAAGCCUGACGCAGCGACGCCGCGUGGGGGAUGAAGCUUUUCGGAGUGUAAACCCCUUUCGACUGGGACGAAUGCCCGCAAGGGAGUGACGGUACCGGUAGAAGAAGCCCCGGCUAACUACGUGCCAGCAGCCGCGGUAAGACGUAGGGGGCCAGCGUUGUUCGGAAUUACUGGGUGUAAAGGGUUCGUAGGCGGUGUGGCAAGUCGGGAGUGAAAUUUCUGGGCUUAACCCAGAAGCUGCUUCCGAAACUGCUGUGCUAGAGUGCGGGAGAGGCGCGUGGAAUUGCAGGUGUAGCGGUGAAAUGCGUAGAUAUCUGCAGGAACACCCGUGGCGAAAGCGGCGCGCUGGACCGUUACUGACGCUGAGGAACGAAAGCUAGGGGAGCAAACAGGAUUAGAUACCCUAGUAGUCC